AUUGAACGCUGGCGGCAGGCUUAACACAUGCAAGUCGAGCGGGGGAAGGUAGCUUGCUACCGGACCUAGCGGCGGACGGGUGAGUAAUGCUUAGGAAUCUGCCUAUUAGUGGGGGACAACAUCUCGAAAGGGAUGCUAAUACCGCAUACGUCCUACGGGAGAAGGCAGGGGAUCUUCGGACCUUGCGCUAAUAGAUGAGCCUAAGUCAGAUUAGCUAGUUGGUGGGGUAAAGGCCUACCAAGGCGACGAUCUGUAGCGGGUCUGAGAGGAUGAUCCGCCACACUGGGACUGAGACACGGCCCAGACUCCUACGGGAGGCAGCAGUGGGGAAUAUUGGACAAUGGGGGGAACCCUGAUCCAGCCAUGCCGCGUGUGUGAAGAAGGCCUUAUGGUUGUAAAGCACUUUAAGCGAGGAGGAGGCUACUUUAGUUAAUACCUAGAGAUAGUGGACGUUACUCGCAGAAUAAGCACCGGCUAACUCUGUGCCAGCCGCCGCCGUAA
rnacentral:rRNA from 1 species